UACAGAGGUGGCAAGCGUUGUUCGGAAUUACUGGGCAUAAAGCGCACGUAGGCGGUCCGUUAAGUCAUGUGUGAAAUCCCCCGGCUCAACCGGGGAAUUGCGCCUGAUACUGGCGGGCUAGAGGUCGAUAGGGGUGAGCGGAACUCCAGGUGGAGCGGUGAAAUGCGUAGAUAUCUGGAGGAACACCUGUGGCGAAGGCGGCCCCCUGGUUGGAUACUGACGCUGAUACGCGAAAGCGUGGGGAGCAAACAGG
rnacentral:rRNA from 1 species